CUUGCCGUAGGACUUCAACAGAUCUUCUUGUUAAAUCAAAUCAUUUAGGUUAUGCUCUCAAGAUGAACAUUUCUCCAAGCUCUGUAACUGUGAUAUUCUUCAUACUUGGUGGAAGGACAUAUGGAGACUCAGUGACACAGACAGAAGGUCAAAUUACUGUCCCAGAAGAGGCUAUGCUGGUCAUAAACUGCACUUAUACAGCCACAGGAUACCCUGCUCUUUUCUGGUAUGUCCAAUAUCCUGGAGAAGGUCCACAGCUCCUCUUCAGAGUCUCAAAGGCCAACAACAAGGGAAGCAACAAAGGCUUUGAAGCCACAUAUGAUAAAGAAACCAGCUCCUUCCACUUGAAGAAAUCCUCAGUGCAAGAGCCAGACUCGGCUGUGUACUACUGUGCUCUGAGUGACACAGUAGCAGGAACUGCAGGGGGAGCUGAGCACAAACUCUGAGCAGUGACAAGAGCCUGGCUGCUGAGUGUCUGCCUCUGGGGCCACUUUGGUUUCUCCACAGACUGUGAUGUGUAUGCUUCUGUUUCUCUCACUGAUGUAUAGAAAUAUCCAGAGCAGAAGACAAGACGUAGAUAUCACCCAUACCUGCCUCUUUAUUAGUAAUGCUGAAAGGAGAAUCUGACACCAACAGUUCCUCAUGCAAGGGCAAAGUAAUUUCAAGGUAAAACCACAGAAACAAUGAGUGGUCUCUUUGUUUAUCUUUGCAUACACAGUCCAGCCCCACAUCUGGUUACAAGCUAU